GGAGAGGACAACACGUGUCUCCUUCUCUUUGUUAUUUGGGCUUCUAUUUUUAUAGUUGGGUUUCGUCAUUUUAUUUGGGCUGAUAACUAAACAACUCAGUCUGAUUGUCUUUCACCUUUUCUUCACAAAUGAUGUUCAUCGUGUUUUUCAUCCUAAAGCGACAAUGAUGUCAGAUGUCCAUUUGGGUACCCUCCAAAAAGUUUCUUCUUCGCGACAGGCAGUGGUGAGAAUUAGGGUUAGCGUUGUUUUCUAUCUCCGCAAUGAGCAACAAUGGGAUCUAAUCGAGUCAGACGAAUCGUCCUCGAUAACCUUGGUAUCAAGCAGCGUCGUUUCGUAUUUGGUUCUUAACCCCCAGACGUUAUGAGUUCUCUUCUUUCAUUGGCGUUAAGAUAUGUCUUAACUCCACCGACGCUAUCAAGCACGACGUCUCAUUCAAUGAUAUUCAUCCAACUCCAACGCGGUUUUCUUUAUCUGUAAAAAGUAUUCUUCCACCGCCCAUGUGUGGUUGCUCCGAUUCCUGGCAACCACCUUCAUAAGGAUGAAACUUUAUAUAGAUUUAAUCUUCACUGAACCUAAUUUUGUUUUUUUUUCAUAACGUUUUUUGAUAAAGAUAUCUUUUCACAUUUGUUUCCGGGGAUAUCCAAGAAACUUGAAGGAUUCCGGGGAUAUCCAAGGGUUGCUGUUGCAAGUAGCAUAAGCCCAAAAUGGUAAAAGGACUUUUGUUCUUGACUGCCAGGAUCACAUGUAUUUUUCGACAAGGCAACUGAGCUAUUCGAUUUUAAGAUUCAUACUGGUUUCCAAAGACAUUGGGAACACCCAUGUUCCUUCAUUGCUGAGAGGCUAUCAAAGGUUGAGCCUCUUACUAUAGCUAAGCUCAAUGAGUUCGUCACCAUUUCCGAGCUUCAGGACACUGAACUUAUUUGCACUGGAAAUGGUGUCUGAUAUCAAAAUGGAGAAAGAUUGGUGUUACGUCUCUUGCUCUAGGUGCACAAAGAAGCUACAUUGAACGGUCUCAUCCUUGCGUGACCUGCAGUAACACCAACACUGUUGGUGUGCUCAGGUACCGUGUGGAGAUGAGCAUUGCUGAUGACACUGCUGAGGGUCUCUUUGUCCGAUUCGAUGACAAAACUACAUAACAUGAGGGCCUAUGGGGCUGGUCAUCUAAUAUUUCAAUCACUUGCAACUCAUGCAUUUAACACAUAGUCUGGCGAGUGAGUAAACCCAGAAGACAGCCAACCACCCCGUUUUUAUUGCAGCCAUGGUUGGUAAUACAUACAGCUUUCAAGUCAGGGCCAGCAGAUACAAUUUUACUGCAAACCAUCAAACUUUCACCAACGAGAAUGGCCGUAUGCAUGUCCCUGACUUUGUUGCCCAUGAUGGUGACGAUCAUGAUGGAGAUGAUAUGCCUGGGGCCAUCUCUGUCGUUUCUAAGGUUGAUGGUGGUCGUAACAAGCGUGCUGAAACAUCCACAGCAGUAACAUCUCUAACUGGUCGCCAUCAAGAAACCUUUGGCAUCAAAGUCUUCAAAGGUGGUCAAGAAGCCACAUAAGGAAUAGGUGAAGAUGAGGGUUGUGAUGCGGAUGGCGUACUUGCUAUUGCAAUAAUGAUUAUGUAUCAACGUUGGUUUUUCUUUUAAACUAUGCCCUUUUAUGGAGUUUUUUGGUAUGUUUUAAAAAAUCUAAAACUAUAAUAAAAAUGUUUUUUGGAGUUUA